GCACUAUUGAUAUUUCUAAACCCCAAUAUUGUCCCUACCCUUGCUCUUGUCCCUGCCCAUGCCCUGCCUGCCCAAACUCUCUUCUAACUUCUCUCUCUCGUAUCUACCCAAACUCCCUUCUUCUUUCUCUCUUCUUUUUUGAACAACCCUUCUUCCUUCUCUCCCUGUAUUUCUUUAUAACUUUAUCUCUUACCCAAAUAAUAUUAUUCAUUCUCUUUUUGUAUUAUUUCUAAUCUCUUGCACAAAACAAAUGGAUUCUUUUUCUAUUUCCACUAUUGUGGAUGCAAAGAAUAUUAUCUUCUUGAGGAGUUCAUCUACACUAGUCUUCAUGUCAAUUUGUUUGAUGUUGACCACGAUUUUGAAGGUUUCAGUAUACAUGGCACUUCAACCAUCAAUGUUAUUGAUGUGCGAUGGUGAAGAUGACGAGUUGGAGAGGAGGAGAUUAGUUAAAAACAUAGCUGAUGAUGAUUAAUGGGAUUCAAAAAGAAGAUGAAUUAUUUGAAGAAUUCACUAUGGAUUAGAAAAUAAGUGAAAGA